UCUACAGUCCCCUGAGAACUAAUUAUACCAUUACCACAGAGCUCAGUUCAAGGCCACUCUAAAAAAUGAAUGUGGCUCUUUCCUUCUGUACUUGCUGACAAAACACACAGAGCGUUUCCACGUAUGUCCCAUGCUGCCAUAUGGUGUGGUGCGUGGAUUUUAAAAAAAGCCUCACAGAAGCCAUUACGGCAUUCACGGAAAUGGUGUAAAGGCCAGAAUCAAAAUAGGAGGGUCUGAUCAGGAGACCCUGGCUGAGUACAGUGUGUCGGGGACCGGGAAGGAGGAUGCUGUCAGAGAAGCGCCAGCUGACUGGGAGGUUUGUCUCAGGGGAACAUGGGAGGAACUGCGCUAUCUUGAUGGUGACUUGAGCCUUACUGUUUCCAAGGACAGCUGGAGAAAGUUGACAGGCUGAGGAGUUAGAAACAGCUGCAGCUCCUCGAUGAUGCGUCCGUCCUCACCAUCAAACAUCACUGCCUUCUGCAGCCAACCAGACUCUGAGGGAGAAGAAUGAAUCCAACGGUUGAUCGGUCAAUACACCUCAGGUGUGAUUUGUGAUACUGGUGUAAAAUCAUGUCUGCACAUGCUACUGCAGUUGCAUGCCUGUGCCAACAAGCAUAACUUGAUGCUGUCGUCCAUCCAGUGACGUGACUUGGUCCACGACAAUUUUGGAAAAUUGAGUCCCUGUGCGGACCAGCAGAGGCUUGCCAGAUAUCGGCAUAACCACUCCCUCCAUCAGAGGGUGGUUCUUUACGAACAGAAGGGUUUUGUCUGAGAGGUCGAGAGAGGUCAUCACUCCUUGGGCGCGCAGCUCAUCGUUUAUGCACUAUGAGAACAACAUAAAAACAGACUGCACUGGAUGUCAUCUGAUGAGAUAACGAUGGAUAACAGGGUCAUCUAAAUGCUUCUUUUAUUAAAACUAAAUAUAAUCAGCCCUAAUAAUGAUGUGUUCUUUAAAUUGUUCUUCGGCUUGUACUUACUGAACUUGGGUGAGGAAAUGGCUCCUCUCCUGUGUAUGUAUCCCAGCUCCCAGUAUCUCCCUCAGUCAAAAACCUCCCACUAAAAACCUGGCUGAUGUCUGAUAGCUUGUACGGACAGAUGGCAGACUGGCUACAAGCACCUGAGGACCCCCUGUGACGGAUCCAGGAAAGAUAUCCUGUUAUUUUCUAUUCCUACUGUGUAUAUAUCUUCUUUACAUCUCAAGUUAUAAUACUCAUCAGCAAUAUACAUUCAAAGCAGAGGUGCGUACUAUGGCUACAUGCAACUCACGUGUUGGAGGUGAAUACGGUGUAGAAGAUGCUAUCCCUCCAGUUAUUUUGGUCUCGGAGAAGGAAAACAUCCUGAACCAGGGACGGUGAGCCAGCAUCGCCAAAUGGACAGUCCAAACGGGCCUUCAGAAAAGAAGUCCACUUGCUCUGCAGGGUCCUUUUGCCCCCCAAGUCACUCUAACACACACACACACACACACACACACACACACACACACACCUAAUUUACACUUGUAGUUUAUCUAGUGCAGGUUUUUUAAGCUUCUGACUUCAGAGACUUACCUUGCACACACGGGCAAUCCUUGACACCUGGAUGUUAUGAUGAUGUUCCUCUACAGCAUUCUCAGUGAAGAACAAGAAUACACUGUCGUCUCCACCGUCCUCUCGGUUUUUGCUGGUUUCAACCAGGCUUAUGGAAAUCAUGGUAGGCUCUGACACCAAAGCAUUGAGGAUAUGAAACCACAGAGUACAAAGAAUUUACAAGGUCUGAAAAUGAAAAUAACUGAUGGGUGUACAAUUAUGGCCGGAA